rnacentral:tRNA from 1 species
CGGGGCGUAGCUCAGCCUGGUAGAGUACUACGUUCGGGACGUAGGAGUCGGAGGUUCGAAUCCUCUCGCCCCUACCA